rnacentral:rRNA from 1 species
UGGGGAAUAUUGGACAAUGGGGGAAACCCUGAUCCAGCGACGCCGCGUGGGUGAAGAAGGCCUGCGGGUUGUAAAGCCCUUUCGGUGGGGAAGAAAAGCCUCGACCUAACACGUCGGGGUAUUGACGUAACCCACAAAAGAAGCACCGGCUAACUCUGUGCCAGCAGCCGCGGUAAUACAGAGGGUGCGAGCGUUAAUCGGAAUUACUGGGCGUAAAGCGCGCGUAGGCGGCUAUACAAGUCGAGUGUGAAAUCCCCGGGCUCAACCUGGGAACUGCAUUCGAGACUGUAUGGCUUGAGUAUGGGAGAGGGAGGCGGAAUUUCAGGUGUAGCGGUGAAAUGCGUAGAUAUCUGAAGGAACAUCAGUGGCGAAAGCGGCCUCCUGGACCAAUACUGACGCU